AGCACUUUGCCACAUGGCCGGCCCCUCUUCUUAAAUUUACUGAGACUUGUUUUAUGGCCUAACGUGUGAUAUAUCCUGAAGAAUGCUCCUUGUGCAUUCGAAAAGAAUGUAUAUUCUGCUAUUUUUGGAUGGAAUGUUCUAUAUAUAUCUAU